AUUGAACGCUGGCGGCAUGCCUUACACAUGCAAGUCGAACGGCAGCGCGGGAGCAAUCCUGGCGGCGAGUGGCGAACGGGUGAGUAAUACAUCGGAACGUGCCCAAUCGUGGGGGAUAACGCAGCGAAAGCUGUGCUAAUACCGCAUACGAUCUACGGAUGAAAGCAGGGGAUCGCAAGACCUUGCGGGUAUGGAGCGGCCGAUGGCAGAGUAGGUAGUUGGUGGGGUAAAGGCCCACCAAGCCUUCGAUCUGUAGGUGGUCUGAGAGGACGACCAGCCACACGGGGACGGAGACACGGCCCAGACUCCUACGGGAGGCAGCAGUGGGGAAGUUUGGACAAUGGGCGAAAGCCUGAUACAGCCAUGCCGCGGGCAGGAUGAAGGCCUUCGGGUUGUAAACUGCUUUUGGACGGAACGAAACGGUCUUUUCUAAUAAAGAAGGCUAAUGACGGUACCGUAAGAAUAAGCACCGGCUAACUACGUG
rnacentral:rRNA from 1 species